rnacentral:rRNA from 1 species
GACGAACGCUGGCGGCGUGCUUAACACAUGCAAGUCGAACGGUGAGGCCCAGCUUGCGUGGGGGGCUCGUGGCGAGAGGGGGAGUGACACGCGAGUGUCAUGUGCUUUACACUGGGGGAUGCCUGGGGGACAGGGGGGAUUAUAGGGGAUAAGUGCUCAUCGCGCGGGGGGGGGGGGGGAGAGUUUCGGUGGUUGGGGAUGGACUCGCGGCCUAUCAGCUUGUUGGUGGGGUAAUGGCUUACCAAGGCGACGACGGGUAGCCGGCCUGAGAGGGUGACCGGCCACACUGGGACUGAGACACGGCCCAGACUCCUACGGGAGGCAGCAGUGGGGAAUAUUGCACAAUGGGCGCAAGCCUGAUGCAGCGACGCCGCGUGAGGGAUGACGGCCUUCGGGUUGUAAACCUCUUUCAGUAGGGACGAAGCGAGAGUGACGGUACCUGCAGAAGAAGCGCCGGCUAACUACGUG